GAGCGGCGGACGGGUGAGUGAUGCCUAGAGAAAUUGCCCUGAUGUGGGGGAUAACCAUUGGAAACGAUGGCUAAUACCGCAUAAUGCCUACUGGGCCAAAGAGGGGGACCUUCGGGCCUCUCGCGUCAGAGAUAUGCCUAGGUGGGAUUAUUGUAUGUUGGUGAGGUAAUGGCUCACCAAGGCGACUGAUCCCUAUCUGGUCUGAGAGGAUGAUCACCCACACUGGAACUGACACACGGUCCAGACUCCUACGGGAGGCACCAUUGGGGAAUAUUGCACAAUGGGCGCAAGCCUGAUGCAACCAUGCCGCGUGUGUGAAGAAUGCCUUCGGGUUGUAAAGCACUUUCAUUCGUGAGGAAGGUGGUAGUGUUAAUAGCACUAUCAUUUGACGUUAGCGACAGAAGAAGCACCGGCUAACUCCGUGCCAGCAGCCGCGGUAAUACGGAGGGUGCGAGCGUUAAUCGGAAUUACUGGGCGUAGAGCGCAUGCACGUGGUUUGUUAAGUCAUAUGUGAAAGCCCGGGGCUCAACCUCGGAAUAUCAUUUGAAACUGGCAUACUAGAGUACUGUAUAGGGGGGUAGAAUUUCAGGUGUAGCGGUGAAAUGCGUAGAGAUCUGAAGGAAUACCGGUGGCGAAGGCGGCCCCCUGGACAGAUACUGACACUCAGAUGCGAAAGCGUGGGGAGCAAACAGGAUUAGAUACCCUGGUAGUCCACGCCGUAAACGAUGUCUACUUGGAGGUUGUGGCCUUGAGCCGUGGCUUUCGGAGCUAACGCGUUAAGUAGACCGCCUGGGGAGUACGGUCGCAAGAUUAAAACUCAAAUGAAUUGACGGGGGCCCGCACAAGCGGUGGAGCAUGUGGUUUAAUUCGAUGCAACGCGAAGAACCUUACCUACUCUUGACAUCCAGAGAACUUUCCAGAGAUGGAUUGGUGCCUUCGGGAACUCUGAGACAGGUGCUGCAUGGCUGUCGUCAGCUCGUGUUGUGAAAUGUUGGGUUAAGUCCCGCAACGAGCGCAACCCUUAUCCUUGUUUGCCAGCGAGUAAUGUCGGGAACUCCAGGGAGACUGCCGGUGAUAAACCGGAGGAAGGUGGGGACGACGUCAAGUCAUCAUGGCCCUUACGAGUAGGGCUACACACGUGCUACAAUGGCGCAUACAGAGGGCAGCAAGCUAGCGAUAGUGAGCGAAUCCCAAAAAGUGCGUCGUAGUCCGGAUUGGAGUCUGCAACUCGACUCCAUGAAGUCGGAAUCGCUAGUAAUCGUGGAUCAGAAUGCCACGGUGAAUACGUUCCCGGGCCUUGUACACACCGCCCGUCACACCAUGGGAGUGGG
rnacentral:rRNA from 1 species